UGAACGCUGGCGGCGUGCCUAAUACAUGCACGUCGAGCGAACGGACGAGAUGCUUGCUUCUCUGAUGUUAGCGGCGGACGGGUGAGUAACACGUGGAUAACCUACCUAUAAGACUGGGAUAACUUCGGGAAACCGGAGCUAAUACCGGAUAAUAUUUUGAACCGCAUGGUUCAAAAGUGAAAGACGGUCUUGCUGUCACUUAUAGAUGGAUCCGCGCUGCAUUAGCUAGUUGGUAAGGUAACGGCUUACCAAGGCAACGAUGCAUAGCCGACCUGAGAGGGUGAUCGGCCACACUGGAACUGAGACACGGUCCAGACUCCUACGGGAGGCAGCAGUAGGGAAUCUUCCGCAAAGGGCGAAAGCCUGACGGAGCAACGCCGCGUGAGUGAUGAAGGUCUUCGGAUCGUAAAACUCUGUUAUUAGGGAAGAACAUAUGUGUAAGUAACUGUGCACAUCUUGACGGUACCUAAUCAGAAAGCCACGGCUAACUACGUG
rnacentral:rRNA from 1 species